rnacentral:misc_RNA from 1 species
GAAGAAAAGAGAAGAAAAAGAACACUUCAAUAUAGCAAACCGAUUUCUUUAAAUAGUUUUUCUAUGACAUCUAAAGGGACUUGACACAUGCAGCAAAUAAAGUGCAUGCAUCCAUAAGUCACUGCAUACUUGCGUUCUAUCAACUUGAUAACAAUGAUAUAUACGUGUGUAUAUGCAGAAGCGGGGUAGAAGCACACGACUAUAACAUCAAGACACAACAUUACACAAAUUACAUGAUAUAUAUAGCUAGUCAAUCCCAUCUGAUUUUCUUAAUGCACUUGUAUGUGUACAGGGUCAUCAACAGCAAGCUGGAUAUGACUAAUUUAAAGCAACAUCUUCGUCACCUAAGGCAACCAUUGAAGAAGCAACUUCCACUUCCCAUAGAGCGGUAUUAUUGAAAGUCUGCGCAGAAGGAUCAAUGGGUUGAACUUGAAUUUGAACUGAAGGUGCAACCAUGUUAUUAGGCUGCUGCUGAUUUUGUUGAUUGAUCAUGAAAAGAUUUUCAUUUUCAUUGAUCAAAGAAUCCAGAAACGAAGAGAAAGUAUCCUCAUUUCCAUUUCCGAUGUAAUUGUAUUCUGUAUUGCUUGGUCCUUGGUCACUUUGUAAACCCAUAACCAGACCAUUACAAUUAGGCCAGUUACCGUUACCAUCUUCGACAACUAUUGGGUUUUGAUAACGUUCUAGGUUAGUAAUAUUGAAAUUUUUGCUCACUUUGGUGGCUAUAGCUCUAUAGGUCCUGCCAGUUUCUUCCAAAUCAACAGAUUUAGGGCCAGAAUUUUGGUUCAGAUCUUGGGCAAACUGGGAGGAAUUAGGGGUAGGGUUCAAUGGCUUGUGGGUCCUCGGAUCAAUCCCUUGGCUAAUCAGCUUCUUACUGAGAUGGGUAUUCCAGUAGUUCUUGAUUUCAUUA